UACAGAGGUGGCAAGCGUUGUUCGGAAUUACUGGGCGUAAAGGGCGUGUAGGCGGCCUUCUAAGUCAGACGUGAAAUCCCCCGGCUUAACCUGGGAACUGCGUCUGAUACUGGGAGGCUAGAGUAUGGGAGAGGGAUGUGGAAUUCCAGGUGUAGCGGUGAAAUGCGUAGAUAUCGGGAGGAACACCAGUGGCGAAGGCGACUACCUGGCCUGUUCUUGACGCUGAGGCGCGAAAGCUAGGGGAGCAAACGGG
rnacentral:rRNA from 1 species